CCUACGGGGGGCAGCAGUAGGGAAUAUUGGUCAAUGGGUGAGAGCCUGAACCAGCCAUGCCGCGUGCAGGAAGACGGCCUUCUGGGCUGUAAACUGCUUUUAUCUGGGGAUAAAAAGGCCUUGCGAGGCACAUUGAAGGUACCAGAUGAAUAAGCACCGGCUAACUACGUGCCAGCAGCCGCGGUAAUACGUAGGGUGCAAGGAUUGUCUGGGUUUAUUGGGUUUAUAGGCGGUCUAUUAAGUCAGUUGAGAAAUCCAACAGCUCAACUGUUGAUGGGCCAAUGAUACUGAUGGACUUGAGUACAGACGAGGUAGGCGGAAUUGACAGUGUAGCGGUGAAAUGCAUAGAUAUUGUCAAGAACACCGAUAGCGAAGGCAGCUUGCUAGCCUGUAACUGACGCUGAGGCACGAAAGUAUGGGGAUCAAACAGGAUUAGAUACCCGAGUAGUC
rnacentral:rRNA from 1 species